GUGUUCUCUCCGAGGUUGUCCUGACCCAAUCAGGUCCGGAAGUGAGGAAGCCAGGAGAGUCCACUAUUCUGAAAUGUGCUGUGACGGGGGCUGAUCACAGCACAUCUAUCAUGACUUGGAUGAGACAGGCUCCGGGGAAGGGACUGGAGUGGCUGGUUUACUACUAUUCCCAGGCCAGCAUCUUCUACUCGCCUGCCAUGCAGGGGCGAUUCACCGCUUCCAUGGACAGCUCCAGCCUCUAUCUGCAGAUGUACAGCCUGAAAGAGGAAGACACCGCUGUGUAUUACUGA